CUUAGUGGCGAACGGGUGAGUAACGCGUGAGGAACCUGCCUUUCAGUGGGGACAACAGUUAGGAAACGACUGCUAAUACCGCAUAACAUGUACGGAUCGCAUGGUCUGUACAUCAAAGUCUUUAUGUGCUGAAAGAUGGCCUCGCGUCUGAUUAGAUAGUUGGUGAGGUAACGGCUCACCAAGUCGACGAUCAGUAGCCGGUCUGAGAGGAUGAACGGCCACAUUGGGACUGAGAUACGGCCCAGACUCCUACGGGAGGCAGCAGGUGGGGAAUAUUGGGCAAUGGGGGAAACCCUGACCCAGCAACGCCGCGUGAAGGAAGAAGGCCUUCGGGUUGUAAACUUCUUUUACCAGGGACGAAGAACGUGACGGUACCUGGAGAAAAGCAACGGCUAACUACGUG
rnacentral:rRNA from 1 species